UAUCAUCAGAAGCCCAUGCCUCUGUGGCAAGGUGCUCCUGGACUUGGAUGUGCUGCUGGGCGACCCCGCCUGGCUCAUCCGAAAUGCAUUAGCGAGAGAUGUAGGCUCUGCCGGCUCUCUUUGGCGUGAUAAGGUCACCCGUCGAGAGGCCCCGGUGGCGAGGCUUGCAGCCCUUUUGCUUCCAACCGUCCCUUGCGGACAACAGCAGACUCUGGUCUGAC
rnacentral:misc_RNA from 1 species